GUUGCCUGUAGCUCAGUGGCAGAGCGCCCGGUUGUGGCCCGGGAGGUCGCGGGAUCGAUCCCCGUCAGGCACCCCA
rnacentral:tRNA from 1 species